rnacentral:rRNA from 1 species
GACGAACGCUGGCGGCGUGCUUAACACAUGCAAGUCGAACGGAAAGGCCCUGCUUGCGGGGUACUCGAGUGGCGAACGGGUGAGUAACACGUGGGUGAUCUGCCCUGCACUUCGGGGUAUGCCUGGGAAACUGGGUCUAAUACCGGAUAGGAGCCCUCUUGAGGCUGGUGGGUGGAAAGAUUUUUCGGUGUGGGAUGGGCUCGCGGCCUAUCUGCUUGUUGGUGGGGUAAGGGCUUACCAAGGCGGUGACGGGUGGCCGGCCUGAGAGGGUGGACGGCCACAUUGGGACUGAGAUACGGCCCAGACUCCUACGGGAGGCAGCAGUGGGGAAUAUUGCACAAUGGGCGGAAGCCUGAUGCAGCAACGCCGCGUGGGGGAUGACGGCCUUCGGGUUGUAAACCGCUUUCGCCUGGGACGAAGCGUGUGUGACGGUAAUGGGUAAAGAAGCACCGGCUAACUACGUG